rnacentral:rRNA from 1 species
UUGGGCCUACGGGGGGCAGCAGUGGGGAAUAUUGGGCAAUGGGCGCAAGCCUGACCCAGCAACGCCGCGUGAAGGAAGAAGGCGCUCGGGUUGUAAAUUUCUUUUAUUCGGGACGAAACAAAUGACGGUACCGAAUGAAUAAGCCACGGCUAACUACGUGCCAGCAGCCGCGGUAAUACGUAGGGGGCAAGCGUUAUCCGGAUUUACUGGGUGUAAAGGGCGUGUAGGCGGGAGAGCAAGUCAGACGUGAAAUUCCAGGGCUCAACCCUGGAACUGCGUUUGAAACU